UACGGAGGGUGCAAGCGUUAUCCGGAAUCAUUGGGUUUAAAGGGUCCGCAGGCGGAUUUAUAAGUCAGUGGUGAAAUCCUAUCGCUUAACGAUAGAACUGCCAUUGAUACUGUAAGUCUUGAAUUCGGUCGAAGUGGGCGGAAUGCGUAGUGUAGCGGUGAAAUGCAUAGAUAUUACACAGAACACCGAUAGCGAAGGCAGCUCACUAGGCCUGGAUUGACGCUCAGGGACGAAAGGGUGGGGAUCAAACAGGAUUAGAUACCCUGGUAGUCCACGCUGUAAACGAUGAUUACUCUUUUUCGGCGAUAUAAUGUCGGAGACUAAGCGAAAGUGAUAAGUAAUCCACCUGGGGAGUACGAUCGCAAGGUUG
rnacentral:rRNA from 1 species